GGUGGUAUAGCUCAGUGGUAGAGCACUUACUUGCCUAGCAUAUGCCUGGGUUCAAUUCCUACAGCACCACUC
rnacentral:tRNA from 1 species